UUCAAACGUCAUUGCAUUAUUUCUUCCGGCUGGGAAAACUGGUUCGUAUUCUCUGAUUCAUUCGUAUGUUGAGUUUUCUGGCCGUCUUUUGUAUGUUUACCACACACAACAGGAAAUUACUACCGAGAGAAAACAAUGAUAUUUUACCUCUUCAUUUUGGCCGGUUUGGAACACCAGAAGAAUUAGAAGCGUACAGAUUGCGUCCGGUUCGGACUACUACAAGACCGUGGUUUCUGAACAGAGUUCCAAUUCCUCGGAUAUUAAGAACUCAUCACAAUCCACGAAAAAAAUUUAUAAAGGCCAAAAGAAAACGUCCGCGAACAUGGAACCCGGGCUUACCUCCUGCGCCGUUUAUUCCAGCCAUCAACCACGUCGAUCUGUUAAUAAAUCCAGUUUACGCCCCCUACAGAAGACGGCCCUUAGAAUUUCCUUUACCUGAUAACGGAAUAGGUCGACGAAGGCACCAGCCUCAGAGAACAGGGCUUCCUGCUUUUCCAGAAGACGAGGGUGGCUAAAUUUAUGAUCAAUACGCAAAAGGAUUAAACCAAUAAGUGUUUUAGGGGCUAAACCAAUCAGUGUUCACGUUUUU